GAAUGAGCAAUGCCAUUGAUAUCAUCCACGUUCUGUUCCUGUGGGGAAAAUAAGUGAAGUAAAAUUGUUACCGGACCAUUAUUUGCGAGCUGCGCCUUUUUUAUUUCCCAAAGUAGCUUUCCUUUUGAGCAAAGAGCCAGCUCUCAACACAAUCAGCCCCAUUCAAUUGAUGUAGAUAAAGAGCAAGAAACAUUCACGCUUUGAAAGGGAAGUAUAUUUGGCUGCGGUACUGCAAUAAUGGUAAACGAUUCAACAAUCUUUAGAAAACAGCCCUGGUGUCUCAGGUGCAGAGGGGCAAAUGUUGGCUUGGAUGAUACACACUAGGGCUGUCAGAAAAAAUAUUUGAAGUUGGAAAACUAUUCGAAAAUCUUUCUUUUUUUAAGGUUCGAACCAAAAUUUGAGCAUUCGAAUAUUAGUUUUGGAUCCCGCGUAUUGUAAUUAACAUGCAGGAUUUAAUUUCAUGCGGCGAAUCAUGUGCAUGCACGCAAAGUUAACAUGCAGGCUUUAAUUUCAUGGGGCGAAUCAUGUUCAUGCACGCAAAGUUCAUUUCCUGUGCUAACGUUACUUCCUCUGUCAACAAAAAACGUUCUUCCCUGGACCCAGGGCAAGUGGAUCGUCUGGUUUUCCUUGCCAAUAACCUCCAGUGAUACUUUCAGCUCUAUUGACACCUAACGUUACUGGUCAGCUAGCCUCGCGAGCCAGUCUCUUUUUCCACUUCGUUCAACAGAUCUGGUCAGCUAACAAUUUAGGCUAAAUAAUGUUCCCAUGGCAGGCUAUGUUUCCUUUCUUUUCUGAAGAUUUUGAUAAAAUUGGAUGAUGAAAGAAGUUAAACAAACUAAACAGAAUACCAUUCUGCUUGGCCUGAUCUCUGGCAGAGGAGCUAGAGGACGGGAGCAGGUCUGCAAUUCAUCAGAAAAGCCAGUCCAGGAUAGGCCCGGUGCAUCCAAACACCUUCUCCUUUAUUUUAUGGCAUAACAGAACAUCACUCGAUGCCCGUAAAACCAUCGAAUAAUACACAAGCCUGAAAAUGUGACAACCAGAAUUUGGCUCUUGUCGCACACUUGUCUCCAUUAUCUUUGCUGUGGGGAGUUUGAGUGGAAGAGUAACAGUCAUUUAUCAGUGCAGUGCUCAUGUUCUAAGUCCUGCAGGACAGGGGGUGACAAGGGUGCAACUUCCCCCCUUGACAGAAGUCAAGCAGAUCCUUAGGGCCUGAGCUCUCCUGUCAGAGACAGGAAGUGACUGAUGAGCGGAUGUGUGCUCCCUCAGACACACAGAGUCACUUCAUAACACCCUAUUGACCCCUCUUUAGAGUUGAUUAAAACUGACUGCCCAGAAAACAACGAGCAGUUAGCGGGGGGUUUUUUUAAGCGUCGCGACGGAAACAUCGACAGACGAGCGCUGUGUCCUCGGUGAGGGCCUGAUGACCGCGCACACUACACUCAGGCCGGGUUUUGAAAUCCUAGGGUCAAAAUGUGAAAAUUCCACUGGGUUCACAGUUGCCUUUCGCAAGCCCUCGGGGCGCCGCGCGCACGCAGGCGUUGAGUUUCAGGGCUCCCCCGGGGCGAGCGGGGAUUCCUCGCCUUCCCCACUACCCAAGCCGCUGGGGAGGAGGAGACCCCGGAGUUCAGAGAGAGAGCGGCAGAGGGUUGAUCACUCGCCCCAAAGCCUCAGUAGUGAACUGAUGAACUCUCUAUGGGAACCUGGGAGUGGAGGCUGUGAUUAAAGAGAGGGCGGGGAGGGAGGACCAGUGGCACUUUGGGAGUACGUCUUAAAAGCCGAGCUGCAAAGGUCUCUCUCAGUUUGGCCUUCUGGCUUGAGUUUAGACUAAACUGUCACAUGCCUGCACUUUAUUAAGAGUGAACGAGGAACAUCAAAGUCUAAAGCUCAACUCCCAUUAAAUAGGGGCCUUUAGAUUCCUCAGGAACUCAACUGCUAUUGAAAUACAUGGGUUUUUUUUAGCCCGUGCUUUUUCCCUCACUCUCUCUUUCCCACCUCUCGCUCUCUUUUCACAGCUGUGAAACACGGUCACCAAAAGUCAUUUGAAAGUUUGGCUCCUUUGAAAACUUAGCUUUGCUGCCAGCCACCAGUGCUUCAGCACACUGCAGAGAAGAAGACACCUGUUCUCUUCCUUCAUUGGUUAACAAACCUUGAUGACAGAGCAAAGGCAGCCAAAGAGGCCUGACCAAGGCAGCGGCUUAAUGAGACGUAGUCAUGUUCUGUUUAAACUUAACCAGGAGGUGAACCUUGAAGACAAAAAUACAGCUUCCAUCAGGGGAGCUUUGACAGGCUUUAAAGUGAAAUUGCAAGCCCAGAGGGAAAGACAAGGGGAGAACUUCCCAUCACUUUGAUAGCAGGCAAAGCAUUAGGCAAACAUUACACACCUCCAUCCAGGAAGAGGAGAGACCCGACCCCAACAAAUCACUCCAAGGACACUCACGGCUAGACAUCCAUCUGCUUUCAAUUUCCUUACGCUUAAAUACAGGUAAGACGAUGCUGAUGAAAUAAGCCCUGUAGCGAAAUAACAGACCGCAGACGAUCCACAAAUCCCAUGCACACCGACAGGAGACAAUUGACAAGCAAUAAUAUUGUUCGCAUUGAAUAACGAGGAGGAUGCUGAGAGAAAAAAAAUCACAGUCCUAUAAGGUAAACUGAUCAAAACUGAUCAGGACUCAAUGAGAAGUGUCCCACGGACAUGCAGGUGUGCUGACGUCAAUGCGCAGGGUGUGCCGGGACCGCCUCGGGGGGGGAUUAGCACGCUGCGAAAGCCGCAUUAAUGCAGCGGAAUGAGGCGGGCACACUACGCUCCGAUAGGCACUCUUAGCGCUCCGGAAUGCGCCAGGAGAAAAGAGUCUAUCAGCAGAAUUGAGUGCGAUAGCAUCAGGCCGGGAGUGAGUCCUCGUCUGGGCUCAGCGGGGAGAGCCGUCCUUUAGAAGGGCAGGAGGAGGGCGCUCCGGCCCUCGGACCCCGAGCGUUUAUCACGCGCCGCGAGCCCGGCUCAGGGCUCGCAUCAGCACACAGAGGCGCAGUCCCCUGUCUUCCAGACUAAGUCUGGUUUCAUGCAAAGGUUGCUCUCGUUAUAUUGUCCCCAGGAUGAAAUACAUUAUGGAAAAUUUUGUUUCGUAAUCAGCAAUGAUGAAUAUAGUUGUUGUAUGUCGUCUUUGCAUUUGCAAGGAUCCCAAUGUGACCACAAGCUCAUAAUGAUACAUGAUAUUCUUGAGUGCCAUUUGUAGAAAAAAAAAAUCUGGCAUAUGCUUGCCCAGCGGCAUUUAGUGAGCACAUCUUUGUACUCUGCACUGUAAUUGAAAAUGACAAAAAAAGAACUAUUCUGUAAAUGUCAACAGCAAGAAAUGACUGAAUAAAAUGUAGAGGAAGGCUUUCCAGAGCUGAAAUAAACUGCAUGCUUCGAAUACAGUUUUUUUUAAAAUAAAUGCCUUGACAGAAUGAAGUCUGAGAAAUAAAGCUUCCUGAAAAGA